GCCACACUGGGACUGAGACACUGCCCAGACUCCUACGGGAGGCUGCAGUCGAGAAUAUUUAGCAAUGGGCGAAAGCCUGACUAUGCGACGCCGCGUGCAGGAUGAAGGCCUUCGGGUCGUAAACUGCUUUUGUCAAGGAAGAAACCUCUAUCAUUAAUAGUGCUAGAGCUGACGGUACUUGGCGAAUAAGCCACGGCCAACUCCGUGCCAGCAGCCGCGGUAAUACGGGGGUGGCAAGCGUUACUCGGAAUCAUUGGGUGUAAAGGGCAAGUAGGCGGUCUGUUAAGUGAGGGGUGAAAUCUUCCGACUCAACCGGAAAACUGCCUUUCAAACUGACAGACUUGAGGCAGGAAGAGGGAAAUGGAAUUCCAGGUGUAAGGGUGAAAUCUGUAGAUAUCUGGAAGAACACCAGCGGCGUAGGCGAUUUCCUGGUCCUGUUCUGACGCUAAAUUGCGAAAGCUAGGGGAGCAAACAGAAUUAGAUACUCUGGUAGUCCUAGCUGUAAACGAUGAGCACUAGGUGUCGGACCUUUGGGUUCGGUGUCGCAGCUAACGCAUUAAGUGCUCCACCUGGGGACUACGGUCGCAAGGCUAAAACUCAAAGGAAUUGACGGGGGCCCGCACAAGCGGUGGAACAUGUGGUUUAAUUCGAUGAUACGCGAAAAACCUCACCAGGGCUUGACAUAUAGGAAGUAGUGAACCGAAAGGGGAACAAACCGUCAAGUCGGUAACUUAUACAGGUGCUGCAUGGCUGUCGUCAGCUCGUGUCGUGAGAUGUUGGGUUAAGUCCCGCAACGAGCGCAACCAUUGUCUCAUGUUGCCACUCCUGUUCAUCUGUUCUGCAGAUUGCAGGAAGCACUCUUGAGAGACUGCCUGGGAUAACCAGGAGGAAGGUGGAGAUGACGUCAAGUCAGUACGGCCCUUAUGCCCUGGGCAACACACGUGUUACAAUGGCUGGUACAAAGGGUUGCCAACCCGCGAGGGGGAGCUAAUCUCUAAAAACCAGCCUCAGUUCAGAUUGGAGUCUGCAAUUCGACUCCAUGAAGCCGGAAUCGCUAGUAAUGGGAGAUCAGCACGCUCCCGUGAAUACGUUCCCGGGCCUUGUACACACCGCCCGUCAAGCGAUGGGAGCUGGGAGUACCCGAAGUCCUAUGUAGAUAGGCCGAAGGUAAGUCUGGUGACUGGCGCUAAGUCGUAACAAGGUA
rnacentral:rRNA from 1 species